rnacentral:lncRNA from 1 species
UGUCAUAGAACCCGCGUUUCUUUUACAGUGUACAUCAUGAUUUAUAAUCACAGAUUGAGUUCUUUUUUCAUUGAUUUACUCUGCAUCUUUUCCUGUGUUCUAACUCCCAGUCAUGUCCUCAUAUGUAGUUUAUAGCACAGAGAAAAAUCCCCAACCUGAUGUAGUCAUCGAGGGACAACAUUAUAAGAGGAAGGCAGAGGGCUUACUAGGCCACAGUGAUUGUAAUGAAAACGGGGCUGCAGGCCAAUGAACUCUUACUCUGAGAC